CCCUGCCAUUUGUACACACCGCCCGUCGCUCCUACCGAUUUCGAGUGAUCCGGUGAACCUUUUGGACUGCGUCCGGCUUCGUGCCGGGUGCGGAAAAUCAAGUAAACCAUAUCACUUAGAGGAAGGAG
rnacentral:rRNA from 1 species